rnacentral:rRNA from 1 species
GAUGAACGCUGGCGGCGUGCCUAAUACAUGCAAGUCGAGCGAACAGACGAGGAGCUUGCUCCUCUGAUGUUAGCGGCGGACGGGUGAGUAACACGUGGAUAACCUACCUAUAAGACUGGGAUAACUUCGGGAAACCGGAGCUAAUACCGGAUAACAUGUUGAACCGCAUGGUUCAACAGUGAAAGACGGUCUUGCUGUCACUUAUAGAUGGAUCCGCGCCGCAUUAGCUAGUUGGUAAGGUAACGGCUUACCAAGGCAACGAUGCGUAGCCGACCUGAGGGGGUGAUCGGCCACACUGGAACUGAGACACGGUCCAGACUCCUACGGGAGGCAGCAGUAGGGAAUCUUCCGCAAUGGGCGAAAGCCUGACGGAGCAACGCCGCGUGAGUGAAGAAGGUCUUCGGAUCGUAAAACUCUGUUAUUAGGGAAGAACAAAUGUGUAAGUAACUAUGCACGUCUUGACGGUACCUAAUCAGAAAGCCACGGCUAACUACGUG